rnacentral:lncRNA from 1 species
AAUGAAUAACAUGCGGAUUCUACAAGAAAUAAACUAUCAAGAUAUGGACUUCUAUCUUAAUAUGCUCCCACUAUUUUACUAACGAGUCACGCAACACCCUCAGCACAUGAAACGGAAGUCUCCGGCAAACUUCUAGUAGGGAUCAGGAUCCAAUCAGCGUCUUAGUGUAACCUUGAGGGACUCGACCAAUCACACUAAGCCUAAAAGGUAGGCAACUCUUGCCGAUCACAACUCCUU